AGACAAUUUACAGAGCAAAGAUGUUCAUUUACCUUAACUUUCUAAUCCUUGGGUAUAUCUGCAAUACCUAAUCUGAGUUACACCAAAAGACAAUGCACGAGAAACAAACAGUAACCUUGAAGUGUAAUCACCCUGUGGGAAGUUGCGUAACAUGGAGCAGAGAAAUAGAUUAUCAACCAGGUCCUGAAGCCAGAUGUGGUGUUCAUGGGGGCCAUGGUGGGCACGGAGACCCUGUACAAGCUGCGCUGCUCCCUGCAGCUGACUGAGCUCGAGCGGGAAGGGGGUCCCCCACGUGUCCCCUUACAUGGCCGUCACAGCCCUGGGCAACCUGCUGGGCCAGGCAGGCAGGCUUCAGUAUGCUGACGGACAUUGAUGAAAUUCAAGUGCACUAUCCUGGGAUACUAGAGGUCAUGAGUGACCUGCAAGGGAGAGCAACUGCACUUGGAACAAGAAGUCCAUGUUGAACAGAGACACCAUUUUAGCUGCAGCUGCAAUCUACCAAGGGAGGAGACCAAUAAUCAGAUGGUCACUCUGACAGAGCUCCAGAGUUCCUCUGUGGAGAUGGGAGAACGUUCCAGAAGGACAACCAUCUCUGCAGCACUCCACCAAUUAGGCCUUUAUGGUAGAGUGGCCAGACGGAAGCCACUCCUCAGUAAAAGGCACAUGACAGCCUGCUUGGAGUUUUCCAAAAGCCACCUAAAGGACUCUGACCAUGAGAAACAAGCUUUUCUGGUCUGAUGAAACCAAGAUUGAACUCUUUGGCCUGAAUGUCAAGCGUCACUUCUGGAGGAAACCUGGCACCAUUCGUACGGUGAAGCAUGGUGGUGGCAGCAUCAUGCUGUGGGGAUGUUUUCAGCGGUAGGGACUGGGAUACUAGUCAGGAUCAAGGAAAGAUGAACGAAGCAAAGAACAGAGAGAUCCUUGUACACCUGCUCCAGAGUGCUCAGGAACUCAGACUGGGGCGAAGGUUCACCUUCCAACAGGACAACGGCCCUAAGCACACAGCCAAGACAACACAGGAGUAGCUUCGGGACAAGUCUCUGAAUGUCAAAAUACAGAGGUGCCAAGCUUGUAGCGUCAUACCUAAGAAGACUCGAGGUUGUAGUUCCUGCCAAAAGGUGCUUCAACAAAGUACAGAGUAAAGGGUCUGAAUUACUUAUGUAAGUGUGAUCAGUUUUUUUUUUUUUAAAAAAAAUACAUUUGCAAAUAAUGUUUAAAAACCUGUUUUUGCUUUUUCUUAUCGGGUAUUGUGUGUAGAUUGAUGAGGGGAAAAAACAAUUUAAUACAUUUUAGAAUAAGGCUGUAACGUGACAAAAUGUGGAAAAAGUCAAGGGGCCUGAAUACUUUCCGAAUGCACUGUAAUUCUAGGGGUUCCUAUUCAUGCACAAAUUGCACAUCGUCCCCCUGCGUUCAUGCCUUGAUAUAGUUUUUACUUCUUGUAUAACUGCAUUGCAAUAAUAUAUCAUUUCCAUUUAAGUUUGGACAGUGGACUCUUUAUUUCAUAGCUGGAUUCACACAUCUGAAUUUGUGGUCACUGACAAAAUGCCAGUUGUAUUUUAUCAUUACAUUGUUUUCAUAUCCUGUACUAAAUGUAAACUUGAUUUUUAUAAUGGAUAAAUAAAGUAUGUUUUGUAUAUUUCUUUUAAACAUUUAGAUUUGAAAGGGGAGGUGCUUUACAAGCCUCUUGUUUUUUAUGUCUCCUGCACAUGUGCAUUUAUUUAGUCUUUAAUUAUCAUAAUUUUGUCUUUUUCUUGUUUAAAUAAACAUUUAAUAAUGUAACGAAUGUACUUAACAUGGAAAAUAUGCUGUGGUCAAUCUUGAGAAAUAACCAUUAAAACACG